AGAGUUUGAUCCUGGCUCAGGACGAACGCUGGCGGCGUGCCUAAUACAUGCAAGUCGAACGAAGCUUUCUUUCACCGAAUGCUUGCAUUCACCGAAAGAAGCUUAGUGGCGAACGGGUGAGUAACACGUAGGCAACCUGCCCAAAAGAGGGGGAUAACACCUGGAAACAGGUGCUAAUACCGCAUAACCAUGAACACCGCAUGAUGUUCGUGUAAAAGACGGCUUUUGCUGUCACUUUUGGAUGGGCCUGCGGCGUAUUAACUUGUUGGUGGGGUAACGGCCUACCAAGGUGAUGAUACGUAGCCGAACUGAGAGGUUGAUCGGCCACAUUGGGACUGAGACACGGCCCAAACUCCUACGGGAGGCAGCAGUAGGGAAUCUUCCACAAUGGACGAAAGUCUGAUGGAGCAACGCCGCGUGAAUGAAGAAGGCCUUCGGGUCGUAAAAUUCUGUUGUCAGAGAAGAAUGUGCGUGAGAGUAACUGUUCACGUAUUGACGGUAUCUGACCAGAAAGCCACGGCUAACUACGUGCCAGCAGCCGCGGUAAUACGUAGGUGGCAAGCGUUGUCCGGAUUAUUGGGCGUAAAGGGAACGCAGGCGGUCUUUUAAGUCUGAUGUGAAAGCCUUCGGCUUAACCGAAGUAGUGCAUUGGAAACUGGAAGACUUGAGUGCAGAAGAGGAGAGUGGAACUCCAUGUGUAGCGGUGAAAUGCGUAGAUAUAUGGAAGAACACCAGUGGCGAAAGCGGCUCUCUGGUCUGUAACUGACGCUGAGGUUCGAAAGCGUGGGUAGCAAACAGGAUUAGAUACCCUGGUAGUCCACGCCGUAAACGAUGAGUGCUAAGUGUUGGAGGGUUUCCGCCCUUCAGUGCUGCAGCUAACGCAUUAAGCACUCCGCCUGGGGAGUACGGUCGCAAGACUGAAACUCAAAGGAAUUGACGGGGGCCCGCACAAGCGGUGGAGCAUGUGGUUUAAUUCGAAGCAACGCGAAGAACCUUACCAGGUCUUGACAUCUUCUGACAAUUCCAGAGAUGGAACGUUCCCUUCGGGGACAGAAUGACAGGUGGUGCAUGGUUGUCGUCAGCUCGUGUCGUGAGAUGUUGGGUUAAGUCCCGCAACGAGCGCAACCCUUAUUGUCAGUUGCCAUCAUUAAGUUGGGCACUCUGGCGAGACUGCCGGUGACAAACCGGAGGAAGGUGGGGAUGACGUCAAAUCAUCAUGCCCCUUAUGACCUGGGCUACACACGUGCUACAAUGGACGGUACAACGAGUCGCUAACUCGCGAGGGCAAGCUAAUCUCUUAAAGCCGUUUCUCAGUUCGGAUUGCAGGCUGCAACUCGCCUGCAUGAAGUCGGAAUCGCUAGUAAUCGCGAAUCAGCAUGUCGCGGUGAAUACGUUCCCGGGCCUUGUACACACCGCCCGUCACACCAUGAGAGUUUGUAACACCCAAAGUCGGUGGGGUAACCUUUUGGAGCCAGCCGCCUAAGGUGGGACAGAUGAUUGGGGUGAAGUCGUAACAAGGUA
rnacentral:rRNA from 1 species